rnacentral:miRNA from 1 species
CCCACUCAACUCUCUUUC